GACCAUCCUCCAAGGCUAAAUACUCCUGACUGACCGAUAGUGAACCAGUACCGUGAGGGAAAGGCGAAAAGAACCCCGGCGAGGGGAGUGAAAAAGAACCUGAAACCGUGUACGUACAAGCAGUGGGAGCCCCACCACCAAAGCAUUCUCUGGUGUUGAAGGCCCUGCAAAGCAGCAUCGCGGUGGCGGAGCGUCGUUUGCGACGCCCAACACACAAAACAAGCGGUGAGUGCUUUGGGGUGGGGUGACUGCGUACCUUUUGUAUAAUGGGUCAGCGACUUAUAUUCUGUAGCAAGGUUAACCGAAUAGGGGAGCCGGAGGGAAACCGAGUCUUAAUUGGGCGUUAAGUUGCAGGGUAUAGACCCGAAACCCGG
rnacentral:rRNA from 1 species